ensembl:lncRNA
AAAAAUUACACAAUAUAUAUAUAUAUAGAGAGAGAGAGUGAAGAACUCAGGUGGGAAGUUCUCUAUUUAUAUUACACAUAAACACAAUAUCAAUACAAUAUUAUUAAUGUUAAGAACACUUCUCCUAAUUAUCUUACGUUUGUGUUGUGUAGGUAACAUUUUGGUCAAACAUCAGGUCAUUUCAUUUAGAGAUUAUUAAAACAUAUUUAAAAUAAACAGAAAAAUCAAUUAGCAAGUGCUUUUCUGUCACACAUUUUCAAGGAGAACUAUUGACUAUGACAUUAUUAAUCUGUAAAGUCAUCCAAACUAUUCGUCACUCUGCUAAAAUAAGAAUCAUUGUUAAUGAUGAUAAAUGCACUUCUGACACCGAAAGACCUGAGUUACUUGCCAGCGUCAGUCAUCGCCUGUCACAGAAGCUCAUACUGUGGAAACAGAAAUACAGAACAAAGAUCAUAAACGAACGGAACUCAACAAAAGAAUCAAUCACUUGCUCCACAUCUGCCUCCUGCUUUCCGUCAUCUGUCAUAUCACUGGGGUUUUUAAUAUUUGUGUAUUAAUGAUAUUUCUUUCUAAUGCUGCUUGAUAAAGAACAGUCACACACAUACAAUCACAAAAAUGGUUUAAACCUGACUAAACAUCACCUGCUACACCUUUGCAAUCUACAGCACAAUGUUCUCUCACACUGUAUCAUCUGUAAUACUUACAAACUUGACUUUUUUUCUUGUAGCAAAUCACACCAACAACAGUUGCAGCCACCAGCGGAACAACACCACCACCAACAACAAUGUGAAUGUCUUCCUAAAGGUGUUGAUGCUGUUGGUUAUUUCAUAAACACCACUGUCUGUGGUUUUGAUGUCUGUGAUGGUGAGAUCUCCUGUCUGACCAUUCAGCUGCAGUCUGCCUCUGAAUUUCCCAUCAAGAGCAUCAUCAUACGUUGAGGGGAUAUUGUUAUUUCUUACUCUAGCUAUAAGAAUGUCUCCGAACCUCCAGUCGAACACAUCAUCUUUCUUUAUUUCAGUAAGACUAGGGGACAGAGUGCCAGACUCUCCCACAGUUACUGACACCGUUUCACCAAACACACCUGGAAAACAAAUAGGAACAGUUAUCUGGGAAAUAUGUUUUUCAGGCACAAAUGCACAUUUGAAUGCUAUGAUUAUGUUACAUUCUCCACCUGAAUACAUUCUGAAGGCAGCAUGGUUACAUUUCUACUAAUUCCUACCAAUAAAUCAGUACUUAAGUAAUUAAAUAUUUGCUUG